UACGAAGGGUGCGAGCGUUGUCCGGAAUUAUUGGGCGUAAAGGGCUCGUAGGCGGUUUGUCGCGUCGGGAGUGAAAUCCACUGGCUUAACUGGUGGCUUGCUUUCGAUACGGGCAGACUGGAGGUAUGCAGGGGAGAACGGAAUUCCUGGUGUAGCGGUGAAAUGCGCAGAUAUCAGGAGGAACACCGGUGGCGAAGGCGGUUCUCUGGGCAUGUCCUGACGCUGAGGAGCAAAAGUGUGGGGAGCGAACAGG
rnacentral:rRNA from 1 species